UACAGAGGUCUCAACCGUUGUUCGGAUUCAUUGGGCGUAAAGGGUGCGUAGGCGGUCGUGCAAGUCGGAUGUGAAAUCUCAGGGCUCAACCCUGAAACUGCAUUCGAUACUGCGUGGCUAGAGUGCUGGAGAGGAGACUGGAAUUUACGGUGUAGCAGUGAAAUGCGUAGAUAUCGUAAGGAAGACCAGUGGCGAAGGCGAGUCUCUGGACAGCAACUGACGCUGAGGCACGAAGGCCAGGGAGCAAACGGG
rnacentral:rRNA from 1 species